rnacentral:rRNA from 1 species
GUAACGCGUAUCCAACCUGCCCUUCACCACGGGAUAACCCGGCGAAAGUCGGACUAAUACCGUAUGUUGUCCAUUGACGGCAUCCGAUUUGGACGAAAGGCUUGGCGGUGAGGGAUGGGGAUGCGUCCGAUUAGCCAGACGGCGGGGUAACGGCCCACCGUGGCGACGAUCGGUAGGGGUUCUGAGAGGAAGGUCCCCCACACUGGAACUGAGACACGGUCCAGACUCCUACGGGAGGCAGCAGUGAGGAAUAUUGGUCAAUGGGCGUAAGCCUGAACCAGCCAAGUAGCGUGCAGGACGACGGCCCUAUGGGUUGUAAACUGCUUUUAUGCGGGGAUAAAGUGGCCCACGUGUGGGUUUUUGCAGGUACCGCAUGAAUAAGGACCGGCUAAUUCCGUGCCAGCAGCCGCGGUAAUACGGAAGGUCCGGGCGUUAUCCGGAUUUAUUGGGUUUAAAGGGAGCGUAGGCCGCGCCUUAAGCGUGUUGUGAAAUCCGGGUGCUCAACAUCCGGCUUGCAGCGCGAACUGGGGCGCUUGAGUGCGCAGAAAGUAGGCGGAAUUCGUGGUGUAGCGGUGAAAUGCUUAGAUAUCACGAGGAACUCCGAUUGCGAAGGCAGCCUACUGUAGCGCUACUGACGCUGAUGCUCGAAAGCGUGGGUAUCGAACAGGAUUAGAUACCCUGGUAGUCCACGCGGUAAACGAUGGAUGCUCGUUGUCGGCCCUUUGGGUCGGUGACCAAGCGAAAGCGUUAAGCAUCCCACCUGGGGAGUACGCCGGCAACGGUGAAACUCAAAGGAAUUGACGGC